AUGCGGAAGGAUCAUUAACACUAUCCAACCUAACUUAACCAAGCCUUUCUAGCAGCCGUCGCAGCGUUGACUUCAGUUGAUGCUAGCAGCGGCCGCAACAGAACUUACUGAAAGGGUACUAACUAAGCUUAAUCACUAAGCCAAAUUCUCAACGGUGGAUAUCUUGGUUCCCAUAACGAUGAAGAACGCAGCGAAGUGCGAUAAGCAAUGCGAAUUGCAGAACCGUGAGUCAUCAGAUUUUUGAACGCAACUGGCGCCGAUUGGUUCUCCAGUCGGCAUGCUUGUUUCAGUGUCUCCUAAUCCCUUCGCCAAAAUCUUAAUGCCUAAGAUACCCUUCUUAGGUUAAGCGAGACAGCACUCUGCGCUUUCAGUGCGAUUCAGGAUUAUUGAUACUGAGUCACCUGAGGGCAAUGCAGUGCAGUGGCGCAAGCCAUUGCGAGUGCUCUGGUAUUCUACCUUUACUUCCACCUGAAAUCAAGCAGGACUACCCGCCGAACUUAAGCAUAUCACUA
rnacentral:rRNA from 1 species